rnacentral:rRNA from 1 species
AUACGGAGGGGACUAGCGUUGUUCGGAAUUACUGGGCGUAAAGCGUACGUAGGCGGAUCAGAAAGUAUGGGGUGAAAUCCCAGGGCUCAACCCUGGAACUGCCUCAUAAACUCCUGGUCUUGAGUUCGAGAGAGGUGAGUGGAAUUCCGAGUGUAGAGGUGAAAUUCGUAGAUAUUCGGAGGAACACCAGUGGCGAAGGCGGCUCACUGGCUCGAUACUGACGCUGAGGUACGAAAGUGUGGGGAGCAAACAGGAUUAGAAACCCCUGUAGUCC